GACGUAGGAUGCGAGCGUUGUCCGGAUUUAUUGGGCGUAAAGAGCUCGUAGGCGGUUUGUCGCGUCUUCCGUGAAAACUGGGGGCUUAACUUCCAGCUUGCGGUGGAUACGGGCUGACUGGAGUGCGGCAGGGGAGACUGGAAUUCCUGGUGUAGCGGUGAAAUGCGCAGAUAUCAGGAGGAACACCGGUGGCGAAGGCGGGUCUCUGGGCCAUUACUGACGCUGAGGAGCGAAAGCGUGGGGAGCGAACAGG
rnacentral:rRNA from 1 species